GAUGAACGCUGACAGAAUGCUUAACACAUGCAAGUCAACUUGAACUUCGGUUUGGGUGGCGGACGGGUGAGUAACGCGUAAAGAACUUGCCUCACAGAUAGGGACAACAUUUGGAAACGAAUGCUAAUACCUGAUAUUAUGAUUAUAUGGCAUCGUAUAAUUAUGAAAGCUAUAUGCGCUGUGAGAGAGCUUUGCGUCCCAUUAGCCAGUUGGAGAGGUAACGGCUCACCAAGGCGAUGAUGGGUAGCCGGCCUGAGAGGGUGAUCGGCCACAAGGGGACUGAGACACGGCCCUUACUCCUACGGGAGGCAGCAGUGGGGAAUAUUGGACAAUGGACCAAGAGUCUGAUCCAGCAAUUCUGUGUGCACGAUGAAGUUUUUCGGAAUGUAAAGUGCUUUCAGUUGGGAAGAAAAAAAUGACGGUACCAACAGAAGAAGUGACGGCUAAAUACGUG
rnacentral:rRNA from 1 species